rnacentral:rRNA from 1 species
AUUGAACGCUGGCGGCAUGCUUUACACAUGCAAGUCGAACGGUAGAGGGGCAACCCUUGAGAGUGGCGAACGGGUGAGUAAUGCGUCGGAACGUGCCCAGUAGUGGGGGAUAGCCCGGCGAAAGCCGGAUUAAUACCGCAUGAGACCUGAGGGUGAAAGCGGGGGAUCGCAAGACCUCGCGCUAUUGGAGCGGCCGAGGUCGGAUUAGCUAGUUGGUGGGGUCAAGGCCUACCAAGGCGACGAUCGGUAGCUGGUCUGAGAGGACGACCAGCCACACUGGGACUGAGACACGGCCCAGACUCCUACGGGAGGCAGCAGUGGGGAAUUUUGGACAAUGGGCGCAAGCCUGAUCCAGCCAUGCCGCGUGCGGGAAGAAGGCCUUCGGGUUGUAAACCGCUUUUGUCAGGGAAGAAAUCUUCUGGGCUAAUACCCUGGGAGGAUGACGGUACCUGAAGAAUAAGCACCGGCUAACUACGUGCCAGCAGCCGCGGUAAUAC